UUUUGAUACUGCAAGUCUCAAACCGUUCCACUCUAACGAUUUCGUUCGAAUCGCCGAUUCGCCAUCAUCCAUCGCCGGAGAGCCGCCAUGGCUCCUCCUUGCUGGCCAUCUGGUCUUCCUCACGAUUUCCUGCGUAUGAGGUAGUUGGUGCAUGAUCCGUCAGUUUUUCCUUUGGGUACUCUCAUUACGGCACCGUCAUCUGCGAGGAUUCCGAGGCCGGAGUAGGAGACGAAUGCGAAGGUUCAUCGGUGAUUACCUUUCUGGAACUCACAACUACUCAAACCAAAACUUGAUGUAAAGGAGCUUGCUUACCCAAUUUAGCUGGCAUGCAACCACAAUUUUGUAAGGUGGACAUGAUGCACGAGUAGAAAAUAACAUUAACAGAACUUGCAAGUUACAAAAUAGAUAUUCCUACUUCAUUGGAAAAUAUCUACUUUAUGUUUUUUUUGGAACAAUCAUCAAAGUCCUUUGAUAUGUGUGAUAAUGUUGUUUACAUUUCCAAACUUUUCCGUUGUCAUCAUUGGAUUUGAGAAGCUCUUGAAGGUGUUGACAGAAUCUGCAAGAUUUGGUACCCUUAAUUAACAGAUGUACCAAAUAUUAAUGUCAAGCCUACAACAUCUCAACAACUUUUACCUGCUUUAUCACCAACUCCUGUGUUCUCAUUCUGCUGUCUCAUACACAUGUUAAACAAGAUCUAGCUGAUGUGUACCUUUACUAACUCUGCCAAUUUCUAGCACUAUGUACUUCUUGUAGUUGCUCAAAUGAGUUUGAUUUCAUAAGCACAAAUACUUGAGUGCUGUCUGCAGCCAAGAUGAAUGCAGAUGCCCAACCAACUCCACCAGAGAUAUUAGCACACUUCCUUACAAAUACCUAAAUAAAUUAUCUCAGAUGCACAUGGAUGAAAGCCAGACUGCCACUUCUUUUAAAAUACCUGUUUUGGCUACAUCUACUUCUCUGAGCUUGUGGAGCAAUCAUGAGAUGAAACAUCAUCUUUCUGGAUCUCCAAGUUAUAUGUGGAUGUAUUUUCUGAGAGUCAAUCUUCAAGAGGUGAUUUUGAAACUUCAAUGAUGCUUUUUACCCUGUAAUUUUGUAAAGGCCUUCUCUUCAAGUUAUGUCUUAAGUGCCACAAAAGUCGUCCUAACAUCACUGACAAUACCAAUCAUAGGGAAAUGAUUUUUUCGAACUAGUUUAGCUGCUCAUAAUUGCUCAUUCCAAUCAAUAUAGCAAGUUCAGAGCAUGAAAGGGAAAGGUGCUUCUAUUGUUGUAUCACAGCUGAUGGCUGAUAUCCCAAGGUUAUCAUCUGAGGUAAUGUUAUGAACACAGAGACUCAUUAUGAUCAAUCCACCAUAUUGCUUGCUAAAAGAUUCAUUUUCUAAUGUUAGUUGAGAAAUGUGCUUGGGGUUAUAAAAUUGUGCAUUAAAUUCUAUUUGGUGGUAUAUUUUUGGAUGCUAAUUGUUGGUUAGGGGAGCCUUGGCACACAUUUUGCAUUUCUUUUUUAUGUUUAUGAUUCAGCUUUUGAUUUGGCUCUCUUGCGUGAAUUAUAUCUUAUUAUAACACCAUCUGAAUGAUUGUAUUGUUCUUUCCAUUUUGAUCUAUAUUAGCUUUACAGUCUAGUCAAGGACGAUGGAUCUUUUUUGAGUGAAUAGUAGAAGGAUCUUUCUCAGUUCCAUCUAUCGUCAUUACCAUCUUUAUUCUAGUUGACCACAUGUAAUCUCUUUGUUGUGAGCUGCAUGUGCACUUAUUCUUUUUAAUUAACCAUUGUCAGCCAAUUCAAGGAUUUCAGGCUGGUGCAGUUGGUUCAUGCAAGGGUGUUGUUGCCAAUAGGUCUAGGGUCGAUUUUCAGCGGGUGCGGAAUGCCCCGCUUGCCUCAACCCCUCCUUGCAUGAGCUGUUGUUGCCGGGCAAAGUCCCCCGUAAUUUACCUCCCUUCUAGACAGUGGGGCCAUCGAGGCAGACACAUGGAAAGAUGAAUAUUACUUUUUCUGUGACAACAAUCGCUCAAAUAAUAAUGAUGGGGCUCAAGCAGUUAUGAUCCACGAAGAUGAUUUUGUAUCAGCAAUGCAGUCCCUGCAGCUGAAACCCCUCUGCAUAACAAUGCUCAUCUCCCUUGCCACUUCCAUCCAGCAUUCCUACCUCAAAACAGAAGCCAUUGGCUUCAAGUUGGUCCCGAUUCCCUUCCAUAAUCUUCAUCGCUGUCCUGCACGUGCCCAUCAACAACUCCUAUAGAUACAAUACAUAUUUGAGACAUCUCAAGAAGUUGCAUUUCGUCAAAGUAGAUAGCAGUUGCAGUGAUCUGAUACAUCUUCCAAAGCAAAGAAACAUUGGAACUUUUGGUUCUUAAAGUACAAGGAGAGAACUGUGACUUCUUUCUGUUUUGUGUUUUUGAUGGCCGCAAUAGAAUGCAAUGCUGCAACUUGUUGUGUCUGUGGUUCUGUCCUCAGUCAGUGCUAGAACAGUGAAUGUAAACAGAUCUGUACUAUGUAUUAUGUGGAAAUAAGUGAAUGUACUUUAAAGUCUUAAGGUAUUUGAUUGUGAUAUUUGGAGACAACAUUGCAGUGACAAUGCUGGACUUUUGAAAGGGCUGUGCCUGGCCAAGUGGCUGUUGGAAUCAACUUCAAUGUGCAUAUUGUGAACAGGGUGCCCCUUAAGGAGGUAGAGAAAGGCCAUGAAUGAGACUUCUGCAGUGAAAAGCACAGCCCACAAGCUUACAAUUGAUGAGGUCUUCUCAUGGAAGGUGUGCAGGCCAAUGAAGAUGUUGGCUAUGCCCAACACACAGACUCCAGUUCCAAGCAGCCAAUGCACCAGAUUGAGCAAUGAUGCAUGGAAAUGCCGUCAAGCUACGAGGGUCGGAGGAUUCAUCCACCUUUCUUUGCUGUUAUGCCGAUUUGGCUUUGGAGCAGCACUUUCUGGUCUGCUAACAUAAUGAUGUCGAGUAGUUGAGUCUAAAUCCAUCAACUUGUUUCAUUUGUUCCUUCUCACAGCGUCAACCUUAUAAGAAUGAACCCUCCACUGUGUGACAUUUUUUUCUCCCAGUGAUAAAGUCGACAACCCA